rnacentral:rRNA from 1 species
UACAGAGGUCUCAAGCGUUGUUCGGAAUCACUGGGCGUAAAGCGUGCGUAGGCUGUUUCGUAAGUCGUGUGUGAAAGGUGCGGGCACAACCCGCAGACUGCACUGAGAACUGUAUGGCUAGAGUGCCGGAGGGGCAGGCGGAAUUCCUGGUGUAGCGGUGAAAUGCGUAGAUAUCAGGAGGAACACCGGUGGCGAAGGCGGCCUGCUGGACGGCGACUGACGUUGAGGCUCGAAAGCGUGGGGAGCGAACAGG